UUGCCAGCCCGCCCGCCAGGCCCCACCGAGGCUGCCAGAGGUGACCUUCAGGCUUCAGCAACUCUGCCCUUCAUCCAGAAGGAUCUAGACCUGCUCCCUCGUCGAAUAUCACUACAAUGACCUGGCAUCGCAUCACCCUGGAAGGACCAGAGGAAAAUGGCGCCAUCUGUUCCCAUUAUUCUUGGCGGGGGCAGGAGCGUGAGAGGUGGGGCUCUGGACCGGGUCAGGCUGUGAGCACACCACUCAGAUUUCUGGCUAAAGUGCUGAACUUCACAGCCGAGAGCAUUACAAAAGAAUUUUUAUUCCUUUCCUACUCUUCCUCCGUGGGUGCCCGACAGAUAUCUCCAGGGAUGGGAGUUCUCGGCUCCAUCCCAGGCCCGAUUCUCCAGUGGUUUCCAGGAUGUGGGGACGGCCGGUGCAGGCUGCUGGGUGAGGGAGAAGCAUGGUCUCUGGCCCGUUCAUCUCGGGAGAACCUCUGCUGACCACGAGGCCCUGCGAGUGUGCUGGGGACCCAGCUACGCUUGUCCACUAAUCACCAAAACAGACCCCGGCUCCUGGCAGAACUCGCUGGGAAACUCCAGGUCGGCUGCCCGGAGCCCCUCCCUCCCAGCCCUGGCCUGGACCUGCACAUGCAGCUCCCAUGCCACCUCAAAGCCACAGAGCAAACCCUACAGCAGGACCGUUGCUCCUACUCUUAUUUACUUUUAUUUUUUUUAUUUUUUAGAGACAGGGUCUCGCGCUGUUGCCCAGGCUGGAGUGCAGUGGCACGAUGUUGGCUCACCGCGGCCUGAACCUCCAGGCUCAAGCA
rnacentral:lncRNA from 1 species